rnacentral:rRNA from 1 species
CACGUAGGGUGCGAGCGUUGUCCGGAAUUAUUGGGCGUAAAGAGCUCGUAGGCGGUCUGUCGCGUCGGAUGUGAAAAUCCAGGGCUCAACCCUGGACCUGCAUUCGAUACGGGCAGGCUAGAGUCCGGCAGGGGAGACUGGAAUUCCUGGUGUAGCGGUGAAAUGCGUAGAUAUCAAGAGGAACACCUGCGGCGAAGGCGGGUUGCUGGGCCGACACUGACGCUGAUGCGCGAAAGCUAGGGGAGCGAACGGG